rnacentral:lncRNA from 1 species
CUUUGGGAUUAUGUUACUCAUUGUCAGAGACGUCUGUUAGUUAGGUCACCUGGCAAUUCAUUGCUAGUUAUGUCACUAGAGUUUGUGUUAGCUUGAUUGAGACCCAAGGCACUAAGAAGAACCAGGCUGACUUCUUCUGACUGUGUUGAAUCCGGCUGUCCUAAUUAGUAUUUUUGCAUGACAGGAUCGUGAUGGUUUUGCUGAGUGCGGGCUUGAGGAUGAGAGUUGGGCUGUGUGUUAGGAGCUGAACAGCUGCAUUUAUUGUAUUCCAAGCCUACAAGAAGAGAAUGGGGAUGAUCCUGAUCAGCCUGCCAGCAAAUGAUUAAGAGCUGCUAGGUGCAUACAGGCCUUCAACAUGUGGAGUAAUGGGAACCUACCACUCCUUCCAAGCUUUGGGAUCAAGGGAAAAGAAUACAACAAAAGACAAAGACCUUGGCAAAUCUUUUACCCUAGCUUUAGAGGAGGGAGGCAUUUGCUUCAGACUUGUCCAUCAAUUUUGUGGCAUGUUACUUAUCAGCUCUUGCAGUGUGUCCUUCACUCAGGUCAGACUUUGGAUGCCUUUCCCUGAGCUCCUCACCCUGUGCUGCCUUUAUACUUCAUGGAGUGAAUUCUGCAUGUUUAGGGCAUACUUUUGUGUGUGCUCUAGGUUUGUGAUUCAGGGUGAGAUGAAUCUCAGUCCAAAAACUACUGAAACAAACUAUCCUGAGCUCAAGAGAAGCACCUUCAACCAACAUGAACCACUCCUUCUUCACAGACUGGGUCUGCUGUGGAUUGCAAUGCUCAAGAGACUCUUGUUCAAGAGAAACCCUCUCUACUUGUAGCCUUUACGGUAGUUAAGGAGGUUGUGGCGAAGACUGCAUGAAGUGUUUGAAUGUGGUCCAGACAGUUUUGCAGCAGGGACUCUCCACAUCAGACAAAUUCACUUGUUCUGGAAGCUCGGGCAUUUUUUGGUUGAUACAGAACUUUGCAUCGUGUUUUUUUUUUUUUUUUUUUUUUUAAAUUUGCAAAUUGUGUAUUAUCAGGAAACCAGGAAUACUUAUACGUGAAUUAUUUUCACUUGCUCAGAGGCAUUUUUUAAGCGUUUGAAAUACCUAAUCUCCCUGGUUUACCACAACCCCCCUAAUCACUUGGGUGGGAUAAUGACUGUGAGGAAAUACUUGUCUUUAAUCUUGCAAUCGGAAAUUUGCUAUCCUGCUUUCAGGCUGUGGGAACAGUGAGACUGACUGCUGUCAGGGCUGAUGUCCGCAGUUCCAAUCAAAAUGAGUUGAAAUUGUUUUUCAUUACGAUGGGCUGGUUUUGUAAUUUCCUGACUGACACUUAAUAUGUGCAUAUUUCUUAAAGUAAAACAUAGCAGAAGAGGCAGGGAGGCUCGUGAAACAUGAAUUGAGAUUAUGAGUGUCACACAAACAUUAAUGGGAAUAGAUAACUUGCUGUUCUGACGCAGCUAAUUGGUAUUUCUGGAAGGUAUUUCUACACUGCUUGAAAUGCUUAAGGUGAAACCUUAAAUUAUGACUUUUGUUUGUCUUUUUUUUAAGUAAAUUCACUCUAUAGGUUUGCAGUCUUUUGUUGAAAGACAGUUCACCCACACCUGGUUUUUGCUGUACUGUAGCUAUUUGUGUAGGAAACCUUUUCUUUGUCCCAUAUCUAAGCAGGAGGGAGAAACAAUUUCUCCUAGUUUUAUUUCUAUUUGAGAUCAUGGGAUUGGAGGAAAAAAAAUCCUUUAUGACCAAGUCCUGUUGCUUGCCAUCACAGCCACCACAUCAUACAAUUCCCUUAGGAAAUGUGUUGUAUUUCAUCUUAAUAGUAGUUCACUUGUUUCCAUUACCCUCUGUCUCAUCUUUUCCUGGGACAUCAUUGCUCUGCUGAUGAGGGAUUUCCUGAUUUUUUCAACUCAAAAUCAGCCACCAUGUUCCCGUUGUUUUGGCCAGCACUGUGUAGUUUUGGCCAGCUUGAGUAGCCCCUUUUCCCCACAGUAUUUUAUUAGUGGGAAGCACCAUGCCUCCCACUCUCUGAUUUACUGGGCUGAUUGCACAAAGGCGAUCUCUAACUCUCUACUUGAUGAGAUUUUCUGCUUCCCUCUUUGCCAUUUCAGUCCUGUUCAUCAUUUCUAACUUGGGUUCAUGUUCUCAAGUAAGGAUGACCAGAAUUGCACAUGAAAUGCCAGCUUUGAAAGUACUCUGACAAACAAAUCACUUUUUAUUUCUACAGUACCUGACAGCAGUGGUAUGUCAGCAGCCAUUAGCAUAUGUGUGCAAUCAUACUUGAGUAAAUUAGACCAGAUCAUGCUCCUCAGUGAAUGAGUGAGGGUGGAAGAAGCAAGUAGAAACUUUCACAUUGGUUUGGAUACUUGCACUGAGAUGCUUGGAAAAGGCAUGAUUAUAAACUAGGCCUGACAACUUGUGUGCCAGGUCUUGGUAUGCAUUGUCUUGACGAUGUUUUCCAAAGUUGCUAGAUUUGAAAGCUGCUGCAGAAAAAUGUACACAUCAUGGGAAAUAAAUGCAUGGCUUGUUGAUUCA